rnacentral:lncRNA from 1 species
AACUUGGAAUGUGUGGCUUUGAACCUGAGGAAGUGGCCAUUUUAUACGCUUUCAGAUUCUCUCUGGGAGCUGCCGAUUCCCUCCCCCGCCAUGAUAAAGUGUUUUCUGAAGUACACGUUGAAGAUACUGUAGUGGGGAAACCCAAACGUAACACCGCAAUGCUUUCCCCUUGGAGAGAGCUCUCCCGUCUCCGCAGGAGUCCUGUAGUUUCAUCAUUUCAUUGACUCCUGCCAACCAAGCUGCGAGGUUGUGUGGCCAGCUGCUUUGGGGGAACAGAUGUGAAAAGGCAAGCCUAUCUUUCUUGAAAACAACUAACAGAACGUGCUCUCAACCACCUACGACACAUCACUGAAGACCACUCUGAGGUGAUUACGGUUUUGAAUUAUCGUGUCAUUUUUUCAUGAAAAUUACAUUAUUUUGCCAGGGUAAUU